GCCCGGGUGGCGAAAUUGGUAGACGCAACUGACUUAAGAUCAGUCGCCGAAUAGGCAUGGGAGUUCGAGUCUCCCCCCGGGCA
rnacentral:tRNA from 1 species